rnacentral:rRNA from 1 species
CCUGGUAGUCCACGCCGUAAACGAUGUCGACUUGGAGGUUGUGCCCUUGAGGCGUGGCUUCCGGAGCUAACGCGUUAAGUCGACCGCCUGGGGAGUACGGCCGCAAGGUUAAAACUCAAAUGAAUUGACGGGGGCCCGCACAAGCGGUGGAGCAUGUGGUUUAAUUCGAUGCAACGCGAAGAACCUUACCUGGUCUUGACAUCCACGGAAGUUUUCAGAGAUGAGAAUGUGCCUUCGGGAACCGUGAGACAGGUGCUGCAUGGCUGUCGUCAGCUCGUGUUGUGAAAUGUUGGGUUAAGUCCCGCAACGAGCGCAACCCUUAUCCUUUGUUGCCAGCGAUUCGGUCGGGAACUCAAAGGAGACUGCCAGUGAUAAACUGGAGGAAGGUGGGGAUGACGUCAAGUCAUCAUGGCCCUUACGACCAGGGCUACACACGUGCUACAAUGGCGCAUACAAAGAGAAGCGACCUCGCGAGAGCAAGCGGACCUCAUAAAGUGCGUCGUAGUCCGGAUUGGAGUCUGCAACUCGACUCCAUGAAGUCGGAAUCGCUAGUAAUCGUGGAUCAGAAUGCCACGGUGAAUACGUUCCCGGGCCUUGUACACACCGCCCGUCACACCAUGGGAGUGGGUUGCAAAAGAAGUAGGUAGCUUAACCUUCGGGAGGGCGCUUACCACUUUGUGAUUCAUGACUGGGGUGAAGUCGUAAC